CCCUUCCCCUGAGCCUCGGGGCGCUGUCACUUGGGGACGGGGAGGCUGGGGUGCUUACCCGGGAAGGGCGUGCGGAUUGAGGGGCGUGCCUGUGUGUGUGUCGCGGUGGUGAGAUCGUACAUGGGGGUCCGGAGGGGAAGAGCGUGCCAGAUGGGGGUGUGGAAGUGAGAACGUGGGUGGUGAGGGUCCCGGGGAGAAAAGAGUGUGCCUCGUGGCGUUUGGAGGUGAGUGAGCAUAGGUUUUGGGGUGUAGAGGUGAGAACGUGGGUGAUGCGGCUCCAUGGGAGAAAAGGCUGCCUCGUGGAGUCUGGAGGUGAGCGAGCAUAGGUUUUAGGGUGUGGAGGUGAUUGCGCCCGGGGCCUGAGGGCGAUCUGGGAGGUAGAGUCUGAAGGUGAGGGAGUGUGAGUGAAGAGUGUGGAGGCGAGGGUGUUUGUGCGUAUGUGUGUGGGUGGAGUGGGAAACAUCUGGAGGCGAGAGUGUGAGGAAGUCUGUCUGGGGUCUGCGGGUGUGUGUUUCUUUUUUUCCUCUCCUGUAACCCAACUCUUUGGUGUCUGAGCUCCUUGGCCUUCCAGUGGGUAAUGAAUGAAGGUGACUCUUGGCUCCAGUCUUCCAUUUACAUUAUUUAUUAGCGAGAGUGCGCGUGUAGCAGCCUUCUCCUCCCCCAGGACCCCGUGGCCUGACUUGGCUGUGGCCACGGUGGAAGGUUGCCUUCCCCGGAGCAGCCCUGAGUUAGGGGACUUGGAGAGUUCCUGGAUCUGUGAUUGCUGGGGGUGCUGGUCUCUUUCCACCUGAUGGGAGCUGUGUUUCCAGACCCUUGCUUUUGGAUUUGAUGGUCCAGUAGGGUGGAGCCCACACUUGAGCAUUUCUCCCCUGUAAAGGGUGCAAAUUAGUUUUGGAGUUGUGUUACUUCAGGAGAGGGUGCCAGGGACUUGCUUGAUUUAAGCUGUUUGUUUCACCUGAAAGACGUUCUUUUCUGUGUUGUCACAGUUUUGGCCUAUCGGGACUUAGUGGGACCCUUCUUACAGGAGAGUUGGCAGGAAAAAGCUGCAUUAGACUUCACUAAAUAUGUCAACUAGAGAAAAGAAAAUGUUAUGAGGAAAAUCAUAAGGAAGGGGAAAUCUGUGUAUAAGAUCUGCAAAAAAAAUCUGUGUAUAAGUGGAUCGACACAGUUCAAAUCCUUGUUGUUCCGUGAUCAACUGUACUCUCGUUAACAACAACAAACCCGGGUCAUUACAUGUCCAGAGGUGAGUUACUGCAGUUUUAUUUUUUAUUUUUGGCAUGUGCUUCUGUAACAUGAGGUUUGUGUACUAUUAAUUUCAUUGACUGGCUUCAUGUUAGAGAGUACGUUGUCAGAAAUGGGGGUUCAGAAAGCCACCAAAUGCCUCGACACUUUCCUGGUUCUGGGAAACUCCUAAACAAGACGGUUGAGAGGGUGUGUAAUGACUCAGAUGGAGGGAAGGAGUUUUUUUGUUUGUUUUGAAUGUUUUAAUGUGUGUCUGUAGUGCUCGGGAAGUAAUAUGCUAUUGGAGUAUUAGAGGUUUCAUUUCUGAAGAAUCCAGAGUCACUGGUAUAGAAUUUCCUGAUCCCUUUAUCCCGGUGAAAUCCUCGGCCGUACCUUCUGCCAGGAAGACAGGCUUGGAAUUUGACCACCCUGUUCUUGUGACCAAGAGUGCUAUUUUAUGGGGCUGUGUUAAAACAGUUAUUUUCCUCUCCGAGAGCCCUUGAGUGAGGGCACGAAGUGUGUGAAAUCACUCAGUGUUAAGUGGAGGAUCAUUUCAGUGUGUUGGGAAAGGAAAUCGAUCACAGUGUCACUUAGAGUUGGUGGUUGGGCCAACGUUUACACAAUUCUGUUGCGUGACGCAUUCAAUCGAAGGAGGGUUUAUAGGACAUGGCUAGUUUGCAUCUUUCGUAUGUGAAACCAAAGUUCAUGAAUUUUAAAGCCGCGUCAUGCUUUUAGUAAACACCUUACAUUUUGCACUGGUGGUUCUACAGGAAGCUAAUCUUCCUGCAGAUGUGUGUCAGAGCCGAGGGCUUCAGGUGGAGGUGUUAGGAAAGGAAAACCAUAAUCCAUGACCAGAGGGCACUGGUCGACUUCACAGAGCGCUUGGUGAAGCAAGGAGUCCCCAUUUAUCCCCUAGAUUCAUGUGUCCCUCACUUCCUGUCCCUUUGACGGACUUGUUUUAACUGUACAGAAGCAAAAGUCUCUGUUUCCUGCUUCAGUAGAGCAAGGUUUUCAUUGAGGAGAGCCCCCCUCCGUCCUUUCACUGCGUGAGCUCCGGCCCCUAAGUGUGCUGCCAGAGGUGACUACGGCUCUGGCUUCAUUUCCUUCUCCUCUGGUUCCUGAUUGAUGAGCCUACUGCUCGCACUGGACCGCCUGGUGCCUCAGGACAUGAGGGCCACGUUGGACAAGAGAUUGAUGAGGCAAGGGUGCACCGGUCCUAUCGUGGGCGCGAUGAGUGUGGAAAGUCCUGUAGAGCUGAAGGACUCUCUGAGAGGGCAAAUUUGUGACCCCUUUUCAGAGACGAUAAAAUAUAAAGUAGGUGACCAGACUCUCGACCUCUCUCCUCGCCUCCCCAUUUCCAAGUCUCUGCAAAGCCACUUCUGUAAUAGCAAAACCAAAUGGUGGCUGUAGCCACCUCUUCCCUGCUGGGGUGGUCAUGGGUGGCGUUCCCUACGUGAUGGGUUUGUGGGAGGGUCAGCCUGUGGCCAGCAGCUAUUUCCUGCUCAAAUUCCCUUUGUUUGUGAAAUACCCACCAACUGCAGAGCUGGUGACGCCAGAGUACCUCCUCUUAAUUAAAUUAAUUAAUCUUUAGGGAUUAAUGAUGCACAUACCAAAUGUACCAAGAGAGCGUUAUGGGCUGUUUGUGGGCUUCCCCUCCAGGACCACUGCCACAACCAAGCAUGAGACGAAAUAGACUCAAUUAUUUUGUCUCUUCAGCCAAACCAAGAUUUGGGUAGGAGAAAUAGAUCCUCAGAUCUGCUGCUUUAAGGGAUGUUAUAGAAAGCUCAUGCUGAUUACUUUCAGAGGAGGUGGGGCUCUUGAUUCUUUUGAUCAAAACUUUUGAGUAGGUGAGCAGCUACUCUGGAAAUCAACUUUAAAUGGCCCUGUAGAUUAAUGGUCACGAGGGGCCUGGCUCUGGGCUUUGUUUAGGUUUAUGUAACCCUUGACAUAACUGGUGGGUUGUGAUCCGACGACAUGGGCUACUUUUCGCUACUUUGCCCUGAAACUGUUCACGUUUUGCCCUUCUCCUUUCUAGGAGGUUCUGCCUUUUUGGCCUUUUGUUCAUCUAGUUUCAUACUUACCACAGCUUACUUUACUUUGCGGGCCUUAUUUCCCAGUAUUCUUCCUCAAAAACCAUGCUCCUUUUCUAGUCUUCUUCCAGGGUUCGUUAAGGCCUUGCAUUUCCUGAUUAACCUUCCUCCUCACAGCUGAUCUUCCCUGCUUUGAGCACCAUCUGGACCCGGUGGUAUCCAUACCGAAGAUGACAUUACUCCCCCUGGGAACAGGCAGAUAGUGUAAAUGAGUCAAGAGGUCUUGGGUGAGACAAUAAGAGUGGUGAGGUCUGUGGUCAUUUGGAGUACCUGCAAAAUAAAUGUAGCUGAUAGCUAUCAGGCAUGCUGGCCCAGUAAUUAUUUUCAAGAGAAACUGCCAUUGUAAUUUUUUUGAUGAAACUUUUUCUCCAAAUACCGUUCAGUCAGAAACCAACAAAUUUCCCUGCAGAUCUGCCUUGGCCCAAGAGCCACCAAUUGGCAUCAUUCCCAAGAUGCUUGUCAUAUUAGAGCCUUUGGCCGUAAUUAUUUGGUUCACAGUCUCAUCUGACCCCUCGGCUGUAAAUUCCAUAAGGUCACGAACUAGAUCUUAUCCCAAUUGGUAUCAGAACUUAGCACAGUGCAGUAUACAUUAUACACAGACAUUCAGUGAAUACUUGUUGAACUUGACAUCUGUUGGGUGCUACAGGACCAAGACUUAGACCUGUAUUCGAAUUAUCCAUGGGUAAGAUGUAUGGACCUUUAAGAUACAGAAGGUCACAUAAGUCCUGUGGGAUAACAGAAGCAGGCAGAGGUGACUUCUCUCAGGUAAUGUCUUAAGCAUUAGAAUUCAGAGGUUCACACUGGUUUCUGUUGCUGAUUUUAAGGAGUAAAAGCAGUCACUCAUUGCGGGGUCCUUAUGUGGCUAGAGUGUAUUAUCUCUUCAGUUGCGUGCAAGCCUCAUGUGCAUAGAGAAUUAUCAGUGUAACAUUUUCAGAAAUUGAAGUGAU